GUUCUCACUUUGGCAGCACAUAUACUAAAAUUGGAAUGAUACAGAGAAGAUUAGCAUGGCCCCUGUGCAAGGAUAACAUGCAAAUAAUCACAAGCUUAGCACUUUACU
ensembl:snRNA U6 U6 spliceosomal RNA